rnacentral:rRNA from 1 species
UACGGAGGGGCUAGCGUUGUUCGGAAUUACUGGGCGUAAAGCGCACGUAGGCGGCUUUGCAAGUCAGAGGUGAAAGCCCGGGGCUCAACCCCGGAAUUGCCUUUGAGACUGCAUCGCUAGAAUUGUGGAGAGGUAAGUGGAAUUCCGAGUGUAGAGGUGAAAUUCGUAGAUAUUGGAAGAACACCAGUGGCGAAGGCGACUUACUGGACACAUAUUGACGCUGAGGUGGACGAAAGCGGUGGGGAGCAAACAGGG